UUGAACGCUGGCGGCAUGCCUUACACAUGCAAGUCGAACGGUAACAGGUCUUCGGAUGCUGACGAGUGGCGAACGGGUGAGUAAUAUAUCGGAACAUAUCCUGUCGUGGGGGAUAACUAAUCGAAAGGUUAGCUAAUACCGCAUACGACCUGAGGGAGAAAGCGGGGGCUCGCAAGACCUCGCGCGAUUGGAGUGGCCGAUAUCUGAUUAGCUAGAUGGUGAGGUAAAGGCUCACCAUGGCGACGAUCAGUAGCUGGUCUGAGAGGAUGAUCAGCCACACUGGGACUGAGACACGGCCCAGACUCCUACGGGAGGCAGCAGUGGGGAAUUUUGGACAAUGGGCGAAAGCCUGAUCCAGCCAUUCCGCGUGAGUGAAGAAGGCCUUCGGGUUGUAAAGCUCUUUCAGACGGAAAGAAAUCGGGCGCGUGAAUAGCGUGCCUGGAUGACGGUACUGUCAGAAGAAGCACCGGCUAACUACGU
rnacentral:rRNA from 1 species